rnacentral:rRNA from 1 species
AAAGGCGCUUUCGGGUGUCGCUGAUGGAUGGACCCGCGGUGCAUUAGCUAGUUGGUGAGGUAACGGCUCACCAAGGCCACGAUGCAUAGCCGACCUGAGAGGGUGAUCGGCCACAUUGGGACUGAGACACGGCCCAAACUCCUACGGGAGGCAGCAGUAGGGAAUCUUCGGCAAUGGACGAAAGUCUGACCGAGCAACGCCGCGUGAGUGAAGAAGGUUUUCGGAUCGUAAAACUCUGUUGUUAGAGAAGAACAAGGAUGAGAGUAACUGUUCAUCCCUUGACGGUAUCUAACCAGAAAGCCACGGCUAACUACGUGCCAGCAGCCGCGGUAAUACGUAGGUGGCAAGCGUUGUCCGGAUUUAUUGGGCGUAAAGCGAGCGCAGGCGGUUUCUUAAGUCUGAUGUGAAAGCCCCCGGCUCAACCGGGGAGGGUCAUUGGAAACUGGGAGACUUGAGUGCAGAAGAGGAGAGUGGAAUUCCAUGUGUAGCGGUGAAAUGCGUAGAUAUAUGGAGGAACACCAGUGGCGAAGGCGGCUCUCUGGUCUGUAACUGACGCUGAGGCUCGAAAGCGUGGGGAGCAAACAGGAUUAGAUACCCUGGUAGUCCACGCCGUAAACGAUGAGUGCUAAGUGUUGGAGGGUUUCCGCCCUUCAGUGCUGCAGCUAACGCAUUAAGCACUCCGCCUGGGGAGUACGACCGCAAGGUUGAAACUCAAAGGAAUUGACGGGGGCCCGCACAAGCGGUGGAGCAUGUGGUUUAAUUCGAAGCAACGCGAAGAACCUUACCAGGUCUUGACAUCCUUUGACCACUCUAGAGAUAGAGCUUCCCCUUCGGGGGCAAAGUGACAGGUGGUGCAUGGUUGUCGUCAGCUCGUGUCGUGAGAUGUUGGGUUAAGUCCCGCAACGAGCGCAACCCUUAUUGUUAGUUGCCAUCAUUCAGUUGGGCACUCUAGCAAGACUGCCGGUGACAAACCGGAGGAAGGUGGGGAUGACGUCAAAUCAUCAUGCCCCUUAUGACCUGGGCUACACACGUGCUACAAUGGGAAGUACAACGAGUU